rnacentral:lncRNA from 13 species
GUGCAGAACAUGCAAGAUAGUUGCAUAGGUACACACGUGGCAGUGUGAUUUGCUGCCUUCCUUCCCUUCACCCACAUCUGUCAUUUCUCCCCAUGCUAUCCCUCCCCAGCUCCGCCCCCGCGCUGCUGUCCCUCCCCUAUUCCCUCCAAUAGACCCCAGUUUGUAGUGCUCCCCUCCCUGUGUCCAUGUGUUCUCAUUGUUCAUCACCCGCCUAUGAGGGGUUACAGCUCUUUUAUUCCCACGGCCCGCAGCCUGGCGAGUUCUGGGUUCUUGUCCUGCGACCAAGAGAAAUAAGGUACACAGACACUGGAGAAUGAGGAAGGCAUAUAAAAAUUUUACUGAGCAGCAAAUCACACUGCCACGUGUGUACCUAUAAAACAAUCUUGCAUGUUCUUCACGUGUACCCCAAAACCUAAAAUGCAAUAAAAAAAAUUUUACUGAGCGACAGAAGGAAAGGUCUCACUGUAAAGGGGACCCUGGAAACGGGUAGCUGUUUGUGAGGCUGAGUCCGGGUUCUCUGUGGAUUUAGAAUGGGGGAGUCUGCGCUGAUUGGUCCAUGGAUGAGGCUUGGAAAAAGCACCAUUUGAUUGGUUAAAAGAUACCAUUCGGAAGGAACGAGUCAAAAAAGUGGAUAAUAUUGAGUUUGAAGUUCUCACUCUGGUCAUGGACUCUUUCCAGAUUUGGGCACUCGGUUUUCAGCCUUUAAACUGUCCAUGAUUUGAAAGUCAGGUUUCACCAGGGUGUUCUGUCUGCUUUGUCUCUCUCCUGUCACUAUCAGAAUUAGAGACAAGAUUCCUUCCUCUUUGUUUUUUACUACCUGAAAGAAAAAAAAAACUGUAUAAAGCAACUGCUGGAAAACCUGUCUACUCUUCCUUCGGAUCAAGAGAAUAUCUUUUUCAUCCUGGUCAGUAUACAAAUCUCUUCUGCACCAGAUGGAGCUUUUGUAUCACUUUUUGCUAUAUAAAUAUCCUUAAAAUGAUAGUCCGGAACAAAAGUGUCAAUGCCUUUUUUCAGAACAUGUGCAAAAAUGUGAGGGACUCAUGGAAUAUUGUCUCUCAACAAUAUAAUGAGGGCCUAAUCCAUCUCCACUAUUCACUCUGAUUUUCAAGUUUUCACAAAUUUGUAGACUGACAACACAUUAAAUUUGGCUCAUGUGUCUUUCAAAUAUGUCUUUUUUUGGUCUUUAUCUUCCAUCCCUCCUUCCCUCUCCUCCUCUGCCUCUCUCUAUAUAUAGCUCAAAAUCUUCUCACUAUCUAGCACAUUAAUGUAUUCUAUUUUAUGUUUUCCUUUCCCCAGACAUGAGGUUGACUAUUUCUCUAAAGGUGCCUUCAUUCUUUUUGGUAACAGUGGUAUUCCAAAACCAUAAUCUGGGUGCUUGACUGUCUCACGCUCCUAGGACUACUCAGUGACAAGCUCAUAUAUUCACACCGAAUCUUACAAUUUAAAUUCAGUACCAUGCAGUUCUUGCACAUCUCCCAGACUCUAUAUUUUUAUUUUUCUUCUCCCACAGUGAAUAACUUGGUUCUCAAGAACCCCAACACGUCUCUUUGCUCCACCUACUUUAUAAUACAAAUAUAAAAGUUUCAGAAUUUCUAAACUAAUAUCACAACAAACAAGUCUAUUAAGAUUUCAAGAUUUUACUGCAACUUUUUGUUUUUGUUGUUGUUCUUAGAAUAUACUAAGAAAAAACCAUGAAUGAAUUCUGUAUACAUGUAACUGCAUUAAAACGGUAUAUACAGACAAGUGCCAGAGCAACAACUAAACUUCAUUGGCUAUUGUAAUGCACUCUUUUCAGGUAAUUUUUUCUUCUCCCCCUGGAGUAAUACUUUUUGUAUUACCUUUUACAAAAAUAACCAUAUAUCUGCAUAUAUUUUUUUCUUAACUGUAAAUUAUAACUCCAUUUAACAGAUCAUUAAGAACAUCCAGGCUGGGCACCGUGACUCACACCUGUAAUCCCAGCACUUUGGGAGACCCAGGUGGACAGAUCAUGAGGUCAAGAGAUCUAGACCAUCUCGGCCAACAAAGUGAAACUCUGUCUCUACUAAAAAUACAAAAAUUAGCUGGGCAUGGUGGCACCUGCCUGUAGUCCCAGCUUCGCAGGAGACUGAGGCAGGAGAAUCGCUUGAACUUGGGAGGCAGAGGUUGCAGAUCUCACCACUGUACUCCAGCCUGGCAACAGAGGGAGACUUCAUGUAAAAAUAAAACAAGAAAGUCCUAAAUUUGAACUACUGAA